GUCUGAGUUGUAUACUGGUUUGAGCACUGGGCUACAACUCUGGAGAUCAGGGUUCGAUUCCCCACUCAGCCA